rnacentral:lncRNA from 1 species
CCCACACACACACAUACAUAUACACACUUGCUCCAAAUGAGAAAGAAAAGUCCACCUUACAAGUUCUCGCAAACCUUAAGGAGCAUUGUAAUUACAAUGCUAUGAACCCGUUCAGGAGCACAGAAGGAAAGAUCAAGCUUCCACAUUGUUUGUUUGAAAAUAUCACAGAAUCACCUUCCUUAUCAAUAUCGAGGCACAAAUUCUUAGUAUUAGCAAGCAGAUGCACACCGAAGGCAAGCGAGUGAGAAAGCCCACUGCGGCUGGAUCAGAAGACACACGGUCUUACAGCAGUUCUCUUUAAAUCAACCUGUACCAGAGAAAAUGCCAACAGUGUGCUUUUGGCUGUGUUUUGUGUUUAUUUUUUAAACUAGACCAGAUGUUUCAGCAUUUACAUAAAAAUAAACAUGCAAAUACAGUCUUACAAAACGUUGAAGAGAGAGGCCUCAGAGAAGAGAGUGCUGCCGCUGUCCAAGUGUGCCGUGAGCUGCAGCAGCCUCAGCAGCGGGGCCUGCUGGACCAGGAGUUCAGAACGAGGCUCUGCUCUAAUGACACAGCAAGGCUUCAAAAAUAUCUUCCAGUGAAUGGAUGGGUAGUUAGCUGGAAGCCAUGAUGCUAAACAGGGUAUGAUGCAACUGCCAUUUCUGUGAACCAAAAAAGAAUAUACACAUACACAUCACCUGUGCAUGGUGUCUGCAGAAGGCAGAGGGAAGGCAGGUAGAAGCAUUAAGAGCUGCAGAUUCAUCAGAUAAAAAUGUGUGACCCCAGGUUAGGUGCUGGGAUGCAGCAAUGCUGAGUUCCUGGGAUCCUGGGGUGCUGGGAUCCUGGGAUGCUGGAGGCAUGUGCACACCACCCUCGGGCAUGAUCCUGGAGACGCGGGAGCUCGGCUGCCAGGUUGCUGAUACGCUCCAUGUUCAGGGGCUGUCCCACCGGGAAAGGUGCCUGUGGGGAGCUGGGAUGCCAGGUCGAUUUCAACUAAGUUCUCGUUUACGGACAUACACACCAGUGGGAUUUGAUUACUGGCCUCACCUGCGCUGGAAGAAGCUCUAUCUUUAACUUCUGUUCUGCUCAUUCUGCUCAUGUAUAUAUUCUGAGAUGUUUUAAACAACAAUUCACCCAUCUUCCUGGCUUUCACCUGAUGAAAUUACAAAUGUUCAGAAUUCUCACCACCUUCUGGUUAAGCAAGUGUCAUGGAUUGAACUGUGUCCCCCUGAAACUCUUAUGCUGGAGUCCUAGUCCCACGGCCUCAGAAUGUGGCCUUAUUUGGAGACAGGGUCUUCACAGAGGUGAUCUGUUUAACAGGAGGUCCCAGGGUGGGCCCUAAACCCCAUGGCUGGUGUCCGUAUAAGAUGGGCACAUUUGGACACUGAGACACAGACAAGAAGACGACCACAUACGGCCACGCGGGGUGCCCUCCAAGGAACCAACUCCGGCCGCACCUUGAUCUCGGCCUUCCCGCCUCCUUUCCCGCUGUUUAAGCCGCCCAUGAGAGUGCCCCGUGAUGGCAACGCCAGCGGGCGCAUAUACAG